rnacentral:tRNA from 1 species
GAGCUCAGUUGGUAGAGCAUGAGACUCUUAAUGCCAGGGUCAUGGGUUCAAGCUCCACAUUG